AAUAGAUUUAUUGAUUAAUUUUUAAAAUUAAAAAUCCACUGCACAGUAUCUCCGCUCAGACUCGGUUAAAGUUUAAUCCAUUGUACUAAACUAAGCAACAACAAUUAUUUCAAGAGGGUGAACGUGAGCAAAAAAUCCUUGGGCGUCAUAUCAUUUCCUUGGAAAGGCUCAAAAUCAAAAGGCACGGAUCCGCCACAUAAUUCCGACUAGUUGUAGUUUCCCGGUGACCAUCAACAAGACCGCUGCACUGAGCUGUGGAGCAGAAAGUGUCCGACAAUCGGAUAGAUGUAAUAACAACUUUGUCUGUCAUAUAUUCAUGUAUUUUUUGUUUUUUGGGCUGAUAUAUGUGAUAUGAUUACAAGUUACACUAAUUGCAAUUGUGGAGUAAAAUCAGAUGUGCCAAAGAUCAUGUUUUAGAUAUAUAAAAAGCUAUAUUAAAUGCAAUAAAUAGUAUAUGUAUAUAUAUAUAAAA